UGUCUCAUCAACACUGUCUACUUUGUGAAAUCUGGGUGGCGUUGUUUUGUUCAGAUGUGAAGUAUAAGAAUAUCAUUGAAGACCUAAAGGCUUUGUUUAUCACUUAUGCUGUCUGUUUUGUUGAGUGGGUUUUAUUUUGUUGAGGAGUAAAGUAUCAGAAUCUUAAUGAAGAGCCACUUACCACAAAAAGUUUUCUGAACAUUGAUUUGAUGUUUUAUAAACGAUUAUCCUACGUUAUUUUCCUGUGUGCUUUUAAAACUCUCUGAAGCCACACCAUAGUAAGCUGUAACGGAUCUAUCAAAUUGAAAUAAACGGUUUAAGCGGUUGCCCACAUUUGAACAACUGAUACCAAAAUAUCUUAAUAACAAAAUGGUGUAUUUAUAUCAUUAAAAUAAGGAAAUGGCUGCGUUUUCUACACUUACCAUUGUGGUGAUUCUUUUGAAUACAGUUCAUCGAUGUUUUACAAUAACGUGUAUGGAUGAUCUACCGGACCCAGAAUGUCCUAAUCUAGCCGCUGCCGGCGAUUGUUUAUUUAAUUCAUCUCUAACAGGAACAUCUUGUUUGUGCAAAAAAUCAUGUGGAACGUCCGAGUAUUGCAAAAAUCCCAGGCUCAUCGCCUAUCAUGAUAAAAGAUGUGAUUGUGUUAGCUAUCUUCCUGAAUGUUAUGGUGGUGAUACAUUUACACCUCUCCCGGGCUGUCCUUUUGACUGGCCAAAUGAAUGUUACAUAACCAGCACGAUAAGGGAUAUUUGGACGUGUUUGAUUUUCCCUAGCAAAGAUCGCACGGUUCUUAUUAACUCCACCGCCAAAUACCAUACCGCACAGAUAGAAUUCCAAUGUGUUGAUGGUUAUAGUAAAGUUGGGGGUUCUAGGGGUCUCCAUGUGUGUGACGGUGGAGAUUGGAAAAAACAUUCAGUUUACGGCGAUUUUCCAGUUUGCAUUCCAUAUAUUGGUCAUUUCAAGAUAUUACCUGGAAAUGAAGCAGUAGCCAAUAAAACGUUAAGUAUAAAACCAGGUAGAAGUGAUAUUUACUGCGGUGCUCUCUGUCUACAGUCAUAUUUUUGUGUUGGCUAUACUUAUGAUGACGUCAAUCACGUGUGUCGUUUGAAUGAAAGUGGUGAAAGGGCUCAAAAUACAGAGUACACAUUAAUAUAUCCGUAUUAACAGACUGAUUGCGAGAGAAGACAUAUAGAACACACCUUACUAUAUCAAAUAAAAGGUCCUAAUUACUAAAUGUGAUUCAAAGAAUGCAUCCGUAUUAACACUAACACUAACAAACCGGGUUCAUGAUGAGGGACAUUGGGGUGUUUUACGAUCCGAAGGUCUGGGCGCUGUUCUUUGCCAGAACCACGACGAAAUAUCCCGAGGAACUCUUAUCAGCCAAAACCGGGGAUUGAACCCUAUAGGUCCUGGGUAAUGAUCAAUCGUCUUGGUCACCGUGGCUCCUAAAACUCUCUUUACAUGCCCUACAAGACAGAAAUAAAUGCGUUAUUUUCAA